rnacentral:lncRNA from 1 species
UGAAUUUAUAUUAGCUGCCAGAACUACAAUUAAAGCAGGAGUGCCACAAUGUAAUAAAACUAGAAUUUAGGAAGACAUUUAUUGCAGUUGUACACUAUACAAAGUAACAAAAGUGAAUUUGUUUUGCUCUUGAUAUCUUAUUUCCAAGAGAUUAUUCUUUGGGUGCUCUAGUGCAAAUACUUAGUAUCUGUUCUGAUAUUGCAGUUACAUCAGUCAUGAAUAUCAUGGAUAUUUGGAUCUUCUUGAAGCUUAAGAACUGGAGAUUGCUCCUGAUAUAGAAAGCAUCAUGACUAUUUCCUGUAUCAAGCAUUCCUAUGUUAUUUAGUUUCUUGGUUAUUGUCCUGCAUAGUCCAAUGGAAGGUUCAAAGGGCUUAUUUUCAUAGUGAGCCAUAAUAAGUUGUUAAUUCAAUGGGGUCAUUUCUGUAAUUGAGUGAUAAAAAUGAUC